UGGGGAAUCUUGCACAAUGGGGGAAACCCUGAUGCAGCGACGCCGCGUGAGCGAUGAAGCCCUUCGGGGUGUAAAGCUCUUUCGACAGGAACGAUUAUGACGGUACCUGGAGAAGAAGCUGCGGCUAACUACGUGCCAGCAGCCGCGGUAAUACGUAGGCAGCAAGCGUUGUUCGGAGUUACUGGGCGUAAAGAGUGUGUAGGCGGUUCUCCAAGUCUGGUGUGAAAUCUCCCGGCUUAACCGGGAGGGUGCGCCGGAAACUGGAGGGCUUGAGUGUGGGAGAGGAAAGCGGAAUUCCUGGUGUAGCGGUGAAAUGCGUAGAUAUCAGGAGGAACACCGGUGGUGUAGACGGCUUUCUGGACCAUUACUGACGCUGAGACACGAAAGCGUGGGGAGCAAACAGGAUUAGAUACCCUGGUAGUCCACGCCCUAAACGAUGCAUACUUGGUGUGAGCCGUUCAUUCGGUUCGUGCCGGAGCUAACGCGUUAAGUAUGCCGCCUGGGGAGUACGGUCGCAAGGCUGAAACUCAAAUGAAUUGACGGGGUCAUAGCUG
rnacentral:rRNA from 1 species